rnacentral:lncRNA from 1 species
AGGCAGCAAAUGAAGGGAACCGAAUUCAGCUGAGGAAAGUGAAAUCGGAGGCAAAUAAAGCAGAAAAUGAGGAUGGAAGUGACGGAAAUGAGAGAAAUCGAAUUCAGCUGAAAAAAGUGAAAUCAGGCGAGAAUCAGGCCGAAAAUGAGGAUGAAAGUGAUGGAAAUGACGGGAAUGGCAUUCACCUGCGGAAAGUGAAAUCAGGCGCGAAUAAGUUAGAAAAUGAGGACGGAACCGAUGGAAAUGAGGGGGAUCGAGUUCACCUGAGGAAAGUGAAAUCAGGCGCGAAUAAGGCAGAAAACGAGGAUGAUGGAAAUGAGGGGGAUCGAGUUCACCUGAGGAAAGUGAAAUCAGGCGCGAAUAAGGCAGAAAACGAGGAUGAUGGAAAAGAGGGGAAUCGCGUUCACCUGAGGAAAGUGAAAUCAGGCGUGAAUAAGUUAGAGAAUGAGGAUGAUGGAAAAGAAGGGAAUCGUGUUCACCUGAGGAAAGUGAAAUCAGGCGCGAAUAAGGCAGAAAACGAGGAUGAUGGAAAUGAGGGGGAUCGAGUUCACCUGAGGAAAGUGAAAUCAGGCGCGAAUAAGGCAGAAAACGAGGAUGAUGGAAAUGAGGGGAAUCGAGUUCACCUGAGGAAAGUGAAAUCAGGUGCGAAUAAGUUAGAAAAUGAGGAUGAUGGAAAAGAGGGGAAUCGCGUUCAGCCAAGGAAAGUGAAAUCAGGCGCGAAUAAGGCGGCAAAUGAGGAUGGAAAUGUGCUAGUGAAAACAAAAUCAGAGA